AGUCGGAGUCGCUAGUAAUCGCAGAUCAGCAUUGCUGCGGUGAAUACGUUCCCGGGCCUUGUACACACCGCCCGUCACGUCACGAAAGUCGGUAACACCCGAAGCCGGUGGCCCAACCCCCUUGUGGGGAGGGAGCUGUCGAAGGUGGGACUGGCGAUUGGGACGAAGUCGUAACAAGGUAGCCGUACCGGAAGGUGCGGCUGGAUCACCUCCUUU
rnacentral:ncRNA from 1 species